rnacentral:piRNA from 1 species
GUACUGGAGAAAGAGCUGGGAGU